rnacentral:rRNA from 1 species
UACGAAGGGGGCUAGCGUUGUUCGGAAUCACUGGGCGUAAAGCGCACGUAGGCGGAUUGUUAAGUCGGGGGUGAAAUCCUGAGGCUCAACCUCAGAACUGCCUUCGAUACUGGCAAUCUCGAGUCCGGAAGAGGUUGGUGGAACAGCUAGUGUAGAGGUGAAAUUCGUAGAUAUUAGCUAGAACACCAGUGGCGAAGGCGGCCAACUGGUCCGGUACUGACGCUGAGGUGCGAAAGCGUGGGGAGCAAACAGGGAUUAAGAUACCCGGUGAGUCCCAAGUACCCAAAGUC